GUGCUCCAUUGGGGGUCUCAGUGGGGACAUGGGGGGGAUAUGGGGGGGACAUUGGGGGGGGGGCCCAAUGGGUCAUCAUGGUGCCACCAAUGGGGGGAGGGACUCAUUAACACCACCCCUAAUUGGAUGGGGGGAUAACGAACCGCGGUCGGAGAGCAGAGCUAUGGUGGCCACCAUGGUUGGGAUGGGAGGUGCUGCAAUGGGGGUCCCAGCCUUGAUUUGGGGGGGGGUCCCAUCACUGAGUAUGGAUAUGGGGGGGCCAAUGGGUCAUCAUGGUGCCACCAAUGGGGGGAGGACCCAAUUAACGUCAGUGUUAAUUGGAUGGGGGGAUAACGAACCCACAUUGAGGAGCACAGCUAUGGUGGCCACCAUGGUUGGGAUGGGAGGUGCUGCAAUGGGGGUCCCAGCAUUGAUUUGGGGGGGGGUCCCAUCAUUGAGUGUGGAUAUGGGGGGGCCCAAUGGGUCAUCAUGGUGCCACCAAUAGGAAGGACCCAUUAACACCACCGCUAAUUGGAUGCCGGGAUAACGAACCGCGGUCGGAGAGCAGAGCUAUGGUGGCCGCCAUGGUUGGGAUGGGAGGUCCUCCAAUGGGGGUCCCAGCAUUGAUUUGGGGGGGGGUCCCAUCACUGAGUGUGGAUAUGGGGGGGCCCAAUGGGUCAUCAUGGUGCCACCAAUAGUGAAAGGACCUCAUUAACACCACCGCUAAUUGUAUGCCGGGAUAACGAACCGCGUUCGGAGAGCAGAGCUACGGUGGCCACCAUGGAUGGGGAGUGGAGGUCCUCCAAUGGGGGUCCCAGUCUUGAUUUGGGGGGGGGUCCCAGCACUGAGUGGGGCCAUUGGGAGGGGGGGGGCCCAAUGGGUCAUCAUGGUGCCACCAAUGGGGGAGAACCCAAUUAACGUCAGUGUUAAUUGG
ensembl:lncRNA